AUUAUAAAUUUAUAUAAAAUGAAAUGAUAUGGCCAUCAAUGAUCGGCAAUCAGGUGCAUAUGUAGUCAGGUAACAAACUUGCAUUGAUGCAUGCAUGAUAAAUCAAUGCAGCGGCGUCUUACGUGUUGUGCAUUAUUUAAUAGAUCCAAUAUCCAACAGGAACUAUUUUUAUUCUUUUCAUUAAAAUUUAAACACAUACUUAUCAUUUAUAAUAACUUAUUAUCAUUAUUAUUUUAUUUGUAUGUAUCCAAGGGAUGUAAGAUAUGCGUAGAAACAAUUGCGCAGAUUAAUUUGCAAUAUUUCGCGUGAUGUAUAACAUAAAAUCGAAAUAUAAUAAAACGACCGCGGUGUUAACGCUCGACAUCAGUUACGCGCCAACCGUAUUCAAGAAAUCAUGAGAUAACGUUUUUACGAAAUUUAACUUAUCGUAGUGACGUUAAUUCUGAUUUUUUGAAGUUUCUUUUAAAUGAUUAAUUACAUACUUUUUAUAUCGGCCGGCAAUAAUUCUCAGUAAAAACUAAUCAGCUCUAGUCUCUUUUAUUUUUUAUUGAUGAUUUCGCCGGGAGCGAUGAUCGUAAAAAUAAAAAAUUUUUUAUCUGUGAAACAUUAAAUUUUAAUUGAAAAUUUUAAACUUGAAGCGCUUGUUGUUAAAUUACAAAGUAAACAAGUGAAUCGCUUAAAAAGGAGUUUAGUGUUUUUUGUAAAUUUAAAAGUGCGCGGAUUUUAUUUCUGAUGUUUUUUUCUGGAAAAAAUUUUUAUUCAAGUGUUUGUCAUUUUAAUUAAUGUGAACAGUGUUUUUUAAAAUUUAUUUUAAAUUCAAUUAAUAGCAAUGACAACUACACUAGAGUCAUGGAACAACUCAUUAUUGACAUUGGAUUCAAAUUUAACAACAAUGAUAACUUUUACCGAUGUAACAACUCCGAAAAAACUUACUGCUGUUCAGCAAAUUAUUCUGACGCUAGUGUUUAUAUUUGGGAUAGUCGGCAAUAUUUCAGCUUUGAUUAUACUUUUUUAUAAAGAUAAGAGGAGAAAUCAUAAGCAUUUGUUGAUGCUGCGAUGCCUGGCCUUUAAUGAUCUGAUCGCUCUUCUGGGCCAAUUGGUUCAAAUGUACGUAGCGACUUACGCACCUUCAAUUGCAACCCAACAAUAUUUUUGCGCAUUAAGAAUACUUUGGCGUACUUUCGGGCUUUUUAGCGGCGGGGUUGCGAUUGUUAUGGCUGUUGAGAGAUGGCUAGCUUUGGCGCGUCCGUUUGUUUAUCAGAAGCACGUGACUUAUCCAAGGAUUGUACAUUUUAUGAUAAUAUUUUGGAUAGCUGCCUUAACAGUGACAAGUUUACCACUAUUUGGAUUUGGAUUAUAUUAUGAUAAUGGGCAGUGUGUUCGUUAUCGUGAGGCCAAAAUGCCAAUAGAUAUUGCCUAUGCGUAUCUAUCUUUUUCUUUUGGAACUUGUCUAUGCUUCUCUAUUGUUUGGUUUAAUUUAGCGGUGACUAAAGUAUUAGGUAAGUUUCGCCAGAAAAAUAAACUAUUAAGAAGAUGUUCACGUGCAGCCUCCCACAAUAAAGCAUUUUCACCUUCAAAAACUUUUUCGCUGGGAGAAGUUGGUUCUACUUGUGAAGAAAGAGCAUUUGCUAGAUUGAUGACUGUUCUUUCUACAUCAUUUGUAAUUUGCUGGAUGCCUCACAUGAUUACAAUACCUGUAGCUCAAUAUUACUUGAGUUUAAAAGAAACCACGACUGUAAUAAAAAAAAGUAUUAAAAUAUUUUUCCAAAUAGCCGAUGUACUACUUGGUGUCCAUUUUACCCUGGAUCCAUAUUUUUACGUACUGCUGCGUAUGCCGAAGAAUAAAUUUUCGCUAUUAAAACACUUGUGCAGAAUUUGUUGGCCGGCUCGAAGUCGUUCAAGCUCUUCGAGUGACCAUCAUGAUCACAGUGGUGAAGAUCCUCCGACUCCAAUUACUGAAGUACCACUUACUUCAAUUAUUGCAGAACAUCAAGAUUUAUUGCACUUAAAUACGCUUCCACUAAACUCAAAGUUAUUUGUCAUAAACGAAUGAUCAAGAUGCUACUGUCUAGUUAUUAUAAUUAAAUUAUUUAUUAAUAAGGACUGAGACAAAACGGAAACGUUGAAAAAUAUCAUUUUACUAAUUUAUGAUAUGAAACGCUUUAGUUAUUUUAAUUAAUGACUUAUUAUCGGCAAAUUGGCUCAUAUAAGGUACUGAUUAUUAAAUCAUCAUAAUUUUAACAAAAGAGAGUAAGACUAAGUAAGAAAUUUU
rnacentral:misc_RNA from 1 species